AGUUAACAUUAACAUAGCAUAAGCAUAUUUCCCUCUCACUUGCCGACGCUUGUUACAUGGUGCCGACGAAAAGCAUUGAAUUCAGCGCCCUGACCACAGCGGACAGAAACAGUAAUCUGACACCUUACAUUAGUGUGGGGGUGUCAGCAUCACUUUCGAGCAAAUCGGCACGCCGAUUCGCUGUCCCACAUUUUUAGUUUUUAGUUCUGCUUUGUAUUCUCGAGAAAACGUCACGAAGAAAUCCAUUACUCCGGCACCAGCCGUAAAUAAAAAGUCUUUCACUCUCUCAGCCUAAGCGAGAGAUAACGGGGAAAAUAACGUAUUUAAAAGUCUUUUAUUCUCUCUGCCUAAGCGAGAGGUAACGGAGAAAAUAACUUAUUUGGCGCCCAACGUAAUAAAAGUACUCACGAGAGCCCUCUCAAUUAAUAAGUGCAUGUGUUAAACACACUUAACAACAAAAACCAAAGUGCAACUUUAAGAAUAAAUUGACAAAAAACAUCUUACUUGUGAAAGUGAAGUGCAAAAGCAAUCGUGAAAAAGAAAAAAACUCUCAGCGAAUAACCGAACUUUCACAAAGCUCAAGCAAGUGCAUACACCAAAGGUUUAAAACCAAAAUAUAUAUCAAGUGCACUCACCAAAGGUUCGACACCACACUAACUGU